rnacentral:rRNA from 1 species
GACGAACGGCUGGCGGCGUGGAUUAGGCAUGCAAGUCGAACGGUAGGAUACCUUCGGGUAUCUGAGAGUGGCGAACGGGUGAGUAACACGUAGGUGAUCUACCCUCAAGACUGGGACAACCCAGGGAAACUUGGGCUAAUACCGGAUGAAAGCAGCAGUGAUGUUGUUUGAAAGGUGGCGUAAGCUGCCGUUUGGGGAUGAGCCUGCGCUCUAUUAGUUAGUUGGCGGGGUAAAGGCCCACCAAGGCGAUGAUAGAUAGGCGGCCUUAACGGGUGGUCGCCCACACUGGGAUUGAGAUACGGCCCAGACUCCUACGGGAGGCAGCAGUCGAGAAUAGUCUACAAUGGCCGAAAGGCUGAUAGUGCGACGCCGCGUGAACGAAGAAGCCCUUCGGGGUGUAAAGUUCUUUUAUAUGUGAGCAGUGCUUUCUAUGUGAACAGCAUGGGGAGAGAGAUAUUAGCAUAUGAAUAAGCAACGGCUAACUCCGUG